UACGUAGGGCGCAAGCGUUAUCCGGAAUUAUUGGGCGUAAAGAGCGUGUAGGCGGUUUGGUAGGUCCGUUGUGAAAACUCGAGGCUCAACCUCGAGACGCCGGCGGAAACCAUCAGGCUAGAGUCCGGAAGAGGAGAGUGGAAUUCCUGGUGUAGCGGUGAAAUGCGCAGAUAUCAGGAGGAACACCGGUGGCGAAGGCGGGUCUCUGGGCCGAUACUGACGCUGAGGAGCGAAAGCGUGGGGAGCGAACAGG
rnacentral:rRNA from 1 species